UUUUUUUUUUUGUAAUUGUUGAAUUUAAUAUUCUAGUAGCUGAAGUGUUGUUUUCUAUUUGCUGAAAUUUUUGUUUGUAAUUGCUAAACUUAAACAUUCUAGUAGCUAAAGUUUUGUUCUCUAUUUGCUGAAGUUUUUCUUUGUAAUUGCUGAACUUAAGCAUUCUAGUAGCUGAAGUUUUGUUCUCUAUUUACUGAAGUUUUUGUUUGUAAUUGUUGAACUUAAACAUUCUAGUAGCUAGAGUUUUGUUCUCUAUUUUUGCUGAACUUUAGCAUGUUUUAGCUGAAGUUUUGUUCUAUAUUUGCUGAACUUAAGCACGUUUUAGCUGCACAACCCGUGCUCUCAAUAUACGUCAACAAUCUUACCAUAAGUUAAAUAUAAGGACAAAAUCAUGAAGUACUCUGAAAAUUCAACACAUGUUUGUAGCCAUCAGCGUACUUUAUAUGAUUUCAAGUAAUAUGAUCUAAUAUAUAGUUAAAACUCAUAACUAUGGAUUCUAAUCCAUAGUUAUAUAUAAACUUCCAAAUUUGGACUGAAAAUUAAAUCAUCAAGCUCAGGUGAAGAGUGUAACCUAUGAACUGAAGUUUCAUAGCAGCACCGACAGCAACAGAAGAAAAGAAGAAGAAGAAGAAGAAAACAAAGGAGGAGAAGCAGGAGGAGAAAGAUGACGAAAGUUAUUUAAAAAGUGAGUACAAAUUAAAAUUUUAAAAAAUAAGUAUAGAUUAAACGAGGGACGUAUAAGAAGGUGAAAUUUUUACAUGCCUACCUACCCAAUGGCCUUUCAAGUCAAACAACCUAUCGGUUGGAAGUGGGAUUGUUAGCAUGCAACCCUUUCAAGUCAUAAAAUGAAAUUUGUAUUCUACUACUACUAUAACUAUAACGUCUCCUCCAAAGCACCAACCACCACCCUUGAAACCAUUUUCAACACCAAACUCUGUGCUUUCUUCGCCCUUCGGCGGACUUUCCUAUAAACACCUUUUUCUCCAUUUAAAUAACCCCCAAAACCCUUAACUCUCUUCACCUGAAAUCAACUCUCCUCUCUUUCUGCAUUUUUACAUACAUAUAUACAUACAAAAUGGCUUUAGCUCCAGCUCAGCUCUCUAAGCCCUUUUUUUCCACCAAACCCAAAUCACAAGCGCCGCUUUUCUCAUUACCUGCCUCCCAGAAGAUUCAAUAUCGGCCGUCCACUGUCCGCUGCUCCGUCGCCGCUGCUCCGUCGGCCACUGCAGCCAAGGCCUCCUCUAAGGUGAAAUCUGUCAAGGCGAGGCAGAUCAUAGACAGCAGGGGCAAUCCUACCGUCGAGGUUGAUCUGGUUACCGGCGAUGAUCUUCUUUAUCGAUCGGCGGUGCCAAGUGGAGCUUCCACCGGGAUCUACGAGGCUCUAGAGCUUAGAGAUGGUGACAAGAGCGUGUAUGGGGGUAAAGGAGUCCUCAAUGCUGUUAAAAAUAUUAAUGAAUUCUUGGGCCCCAAACUUGUUGGUGUUGAUGUCAGGUAACUAAUAUUGCUAGUAGUGUUUAUUUUCUUAUUUCUUAAAAUUUUCGUUUCCUUCUUAUUGUUUGCUUAUAAAGUAAAAUGCUCAAUCUUCCACCUAGUAUCCGCUUUCAAUUUGUAUAUUACAACUGACUUUAAGUUCUAUGCACUGCCUUAAAAAUAUUUACGCCAUAAGAUCACUUAAUUGUAGCUUACUAUAGUCAAUAGCAUUGAUAGUUACCUAAAAUGGUAAUUCAUCCGGUUAAAUUAUGCUUAUGGUGUGAAAAAUUUAUUAUGUAACUUAAAUCUUUCACAAAAUCGUAGUUUUCUUGUCAUGCACUGAAAUUUUUUAACGAACCAAGUGUAUUACAUACAGUAAUGGAUCGUACACAACCCCUUGCUAAGGACCUUCAUUCUGAUUGCUCUAGUGCUCUAAACAUAUAAUGAAAGGAGCUGAGUAAAUGUACAUUUUACUACUGGUCUUUAUUAGGUAGCUGCACAUAUGAUUUUGGCUACUAAUAAUAAAAUUUGCUGAUCUUAGCUUGGUUAAAGUUGAGGUAGAAACUAAGUAGAUAACUGCUACAUAUUACACACCAUGGCAACUCAAAGUAGUGCUAUUGCUUGUAUGGUACUACUAUAUUUCCUAAUAAUGAAUGCCAUAGGAAAUAGCUGCCUUGGUGUAUUUUUAUUUCGUUAUCUAUGAUGGAACUGACCGCAUAAAAUUUAAUUGUUAAUUUGCUCUAAUUGAUAUAGUAGUGGUAGUGAAAGAAAGUAUACUAAAAUGAUAGUUGAGAAGUUAGUUUGAUAAUGAAAAUAACACAUUACUUUAGUCUUUGAAUAAUCAAUUGAAUUAAAUUUCUUAAAAGUUGUGAAAAUUGUAUAGUAUAUAUAAUAUAUUAAAGGAAAAGUGUCAAACCUUUUGGCAUCCCAAAAUGGAAAAAAGUGUCAUAUAAACUAGGACGAGGUGAGCAAUUAAUAUGCUUGCAAUUUUAUUUCUCAACAUUGUUCCAUCCAAGUAUGACAAUUUUCAUUUCUUCUUGUGAAGGAACCAGGCUGACGUUGACGCUGUUAUGCUGGAGAUUGAUGGAACUCCUAAUAAAUCAAAACUUGGGGCUAAUGCCAUUCUUGGAGUUUCUCUCAGUGUGUGUAGAGCUGGCGCUGGAGCAAAAGCAGUACCUUUGUAUAAACACAUUCAAGAAAUAUCUGGAACCAAAGAACUUGUAAUGCCAGUUCCAGCGUUCAAUGUGAUAAAUGGAGGGAGCCAUGCUGGUAACAAUUUGGCUAUGCAAGAGUUUAUGAUUCUACCUGUUGGAGCGUCAACAUUUGCUGAGGCACUUUGUAUGGGUAGUGAAGGUGAGAAAUCUGUUCGCUCCCGUCCUCUGGAAUCAGAAUUGAAGAAAAAGGAGUAAAUAGAAAAUUGCUUCCUCUUUCUUGAUCGCUAUCUCUGUCUCACUUUAACAAAUUAGUGUUGGUUUCAGUAAAUCUGCAUUAGAUGAAGUAAAACAGUAGCUAAACUUCUUAUUCUGAGCAUUAAAAUGCUGCUUUGUCCUGAAGUACCUAUAGCUGUUCUUCUCCAUGACCUGUAACCUUUGCAUAUUAUGUGUUCUGCAAACUUGUAAUGAAUAUCUUUAUACAUGGUAUUUAACUGUCCACGCUUGAUGGGAGAACAGUCUACCACACUCUAAAGGGAAUUAUCAAAGCUAAGUAUGGGCAAGAUGCAUGCAAUGUUGGUGAUGAAGGUGGAUUCGCUCCGAAUGUCCAGGAUAACAGGGAAGGGCUAGUAUUGCUUAUGGAUGCAAUUGAGAAGGCCGGUUACAUUGGAAAGGUCGGCAUUCUUUUUGGCCUUUCAGUUUUAUUACAUUAUUUUACUUUCAGAAGUUAUGGACUUGCUCAUUGAAAGAUUGGUGCAGAUUAAAAUUGGCAUGGACGUAGCAGCAUCUGAGUUCUUGACAAAAGAUGCGAAAUAUGAUCUCAAUUUCAAGAAUCAACCAAAUGAUGGAGCUCAUGUACUUAGUGCUCAGAGCCUCUGUGAACUCUAUAAGGAGUUUGUCAAAGAAUUUCCUAUUGUAUCUAUUGAAGAUCCAUUUGACCAAGAUGAUUGGAGCUCAUGGGCAUCACUACAAUCUUCAGUUGAUAUUCAGCUUGUUGGUGAUGAUUUGUUGGUGACUAAUCCAAAGAGAAUUGCUGAAGCAAUUCAGAAAAAGGCAUGCAAUGCAUUGUUGUUGAAGGUAAGGGCUUAUGCCUUAAAGCAACAUACAAAUCUCUGUAGCAAAGCUGCCUUGUUCCAUCAGUAGGCUUCUUUCUCUUUUCAAAUGCUUAGUCGCACAAAGGUAUAAAACUUACUAAAUUAAAGAAACAAAAUGAGGUUAUGUUACCUGUAAAGUACAGUACCUUUGAGUUGAUCCUCGGCAUAUAAGCAAAAUAGCCUUUAAUAAAUUAACAGGAAGAGCCUUAAAACAGUGGUGCUUAAUUUGGUACGUUUCUCCGGAAAAGCCUAGUCUUUUCCUGCCAGAAAAAUGCUUAGAGUAUUUAACUAAUAAGGGUUGUCCUAGAAAGAUCUCGGCUUAACAAUACCAUAGUAUUAUGUUAUGAACCUUUUUGAAUGAAUGCAUAUGUCAUAGAUGGUAUACUUCACAGCUUAUGUCUCAAAUAUAGUUAAACACUUGAUGUUGACACAUUUUUUAUACCGUUUGAUUAAUCUGGGUUCCCUCUUUUCAAUGCUACUUUAAGCACUUGACUCGUCAGAGCUCACAUGCAGUACACUUUGUUUUCAUGUAUAGUUCUAUUUCAAUUAUACUAUAACUUUAAUGGGCUAGAGGGAGAAAUUUCAGACAUAGAAAAUGCAAUUUAUACGUUGUCAUGGGUCCAGUCCUGCAAGACAAAAGCACUGCAUUGAUGUACAUAAAUCCCUCCUAUAAGGUUAGGUGUUAAAGACGGUAGAGCUCUCUUGAAUGAACUUUUAGCCAUCUGUAGUGGAACUUAAGCAGCUGAAUGGUCGACAGGUUUAAAACCUCAGUCAGCUUGUAGAAGUGCAUGGAUAUUCACUUUGAUGGACUUCCUCAGCUGUUUGAUAUAUGAAUGACACAUGGUAGCGAGGGGCUUGGCUCAUCAUUUUUCAAAUUGCAGGUUAACCAGAUUGGUACAGUGACAGAAUCCAUUCAAGCAGCACUAGACUCCAAAGCUGCGGGCUGGGGUGUUAUGGUCAGUCACCGAAGCGGUGAAACAGAGGAUAAUUUUAUCGCAGAUUUGUCUGUUGGUUUGGCCAGUGGACAGGUACUCUUGACUUCCAGCUGUUAACAUUGGUUAAUCUUCUCCACUCUUUUAUGCAUCGGCAGCAUAUUAAUAUUCUUUUAAAUUCUCCCUUUAAUGCAGAUCAAGACGGGAGCACCCUGUCGGAGUGAGCGGCUGGCAAAAUACAACCAGGUUAAGAUGGAACACUUUAAUUACCGUUCUUUCUUUGUUUCUGUCUUCUUAUUUCUAAAUUGUUGCCAUUGCUCUUCUUGUUUUUGUAAUUGCUACUGUUAUCUCAUCAUCUCAUUUAGUAUUCCUUCUCUAUCCCUCCCGUGCUCAAACAAAUUAGUAUUAUUUACUCUUUUACUAGAGUUUUGCUAACCAACAUUUGUAGAGCGAGUUAGGUGAGGAUUACUUUCCCCCUAUUUUCUAUUCAUGAUCAGAAACAAAAAAACAACUUUUAUUCAUCCUGCUGUUAGCAAUUUUACUACUCAGUCUUGUCACUGCUUGGAAGUUAAUGAGCUUUCGAUGUGGAUAGUUACAUAUAGCAGAUUGUAAAGUUAUACUGAAGUCGUUUAAUCUUCCUCCCUGGAUCAAAAAAAAAAAAAAAACCUCGAAGCAUUUCAACUGGAUUUUAUUGAUGUCUGAUGUCUGUCCCAUUAUGUUUUCUUUGCACUAGCUCUGUGUUUGUUGAUAACUUCUUUUCAGAAAAAAAGAUUAUUUCCUGCUUGUUAGAGUGGCUAAACUCGUUAUACUGAUUGCAGCUUCUGCGUAUCGAAGAGGAACUUGGAGAUGUUCGCUAUGCUGGUGAAUCUUUCAGAUCUCCAUGAGAAAGCAUCAAAAGCUAAAUUACUGAAACAUUCUUCGCGCCACACCUACAAUAGAUGAAAACUAAAGUAGGGAGAAUCCAUUAAAGUUUUCCUUUUUGUAUACUCAAUCGGCGUUGUUGUUUAGAUAUAUGUAUUCGAGGAGGAUCUGGUAGGCAUUAGAAGCUACUUCUGAUCAACAUUUCAUGCAGUUGUUUUCGAAAAAUAAACAAGUCUUACUUUUAGUUUCCAAAAUGGAAUUCCCUGUCUCCAGCAGGAGUGUUCUCUUUAUCAAAAUAAUAAGGCCCUCCUUUUUGUUAUGGAUGUCAUGACAAUAUUUGUCUAGUUGGGGGAGGCCUGAUAUCAAGUCAAAUCAGUAAUUAUUGUGUUAAUGAAUUCUUCAGGGUUUGGACGAACAAUAUCUUGAUAAAGUACAAUGAAGCCAUUUUUAUAUAUCGGUUCUCCAGAUGUUACUAGAGACACAGUACCAUCAUAUAAUCACAUUUAAACUAAACAUCACAAAGUGACCAACCAGAACUACAAUCAAAUUAGCAAAGGCUAUAGUGCUACAGUUUUGCUGGAGUCGGCUCUGUAAAAACUGACUAUGAUAAUGCCGGAAAUGUGGGUUAAGAACUACAUACAUAAAAAGCGACCAUCUAUCAGUGAUUAGUCUUUUCCAUAACAGUUCCCAGCUGAAGUAAAGCAAGGCUUGGAAACUUGAGUGCAUUGUACAGGAUGCUAUUAAUUUAUAAUGUAGAAUGUUGAACGCUUGCAGUAACGCUGAUAAAACCAACUUGAGCGUAACAAGUGAAUGCACUACAGUAGUAGAUCUGGGUUCAAAAUUUAGCACCAUCAAUUUCCACACUCCUAAGACAAAAGGCGUAUUGACAAACACUGGAGUGAUUGAAACAUCUUGAAUUAUGUGUAGAUAAAUUAUUUUGUUCUAGGGUAAGAGGAACAGGGAAAAACAAAUUACAAGGGCUCAAAAAUUUAUAUCGUGGCAAAUACUUUGUGGACAUGGGGGAGCAGAUCAUGAUCUUCUGGAACUAAUAUCAACUCUGAUAUACAAUGGCGAAGGCUAAACUAAGACAUAAUACUGUAGCACUUUCAAGAUUCUAGUAACAUGAUACAGCAGCCUUUGACACCCCCCCCCCCCCCAAAAAAAAAGGAAUCAGUAACAAUACACAGCAGUAAGCAUCAAUUACUGAUUUAUAGGUCAAUCUUAGUCGGGUCACAGUUAAAGGACCAUGAACAUCCGCACUCCACAACGAAUCGAUUGCAGGAUAAAGAUGUAUACUGCUACCUUUGGAUGGC
rnacentral:lncRNA from 1 species